CCCCCCCUACCCUCCCCCUUCCGGACAAUGGACGUAUCCUCCUGUCCCUGCAGAGCAACCGUACAGUAUGCUGAUAAUAGCUACCUCUAAAACUCUGAACAACAUGCCCUCCAUGACAUACCCUCAAAUAUACAACGGGGCACACUAGACUAGGCUAAGCACCAGAAGGUGUCUAUGCUAUACCCACCCCAUGGACCAUCC